rnacentral:misc_RNA from 1 species
GAUGAAGAACGUAGCGAAAUGCGAUAACUAAUGUGAAUUGCAGAAUUCCGUGAAUCAUCGAGUCUUUGAACGCACAUUGCGCCCCCUGGUAUUCCGGGGGGCAUGCCUGUCCGAGCGUCAUUGCUGCCCAUCAAGCACGGCUUUGUGUUGGGUCCUCGUCCCCCCCGGGGGACGUGCCCGAAAGGCAGCGGCGGCACCGCGUCCGGUCCUCGAGCGUAUGGGGCUUUGUCACCCGCUCUGCAGGCCCGGCCGGCGCUGGCCGACGCGAAAGCAACCAUUUUUUCUCCAGGUUGACCUCGGAUCAGGUAGGGAUACCCGCUGAACUUAAGCAUAUCAAUAAGCGGAGGA